rnacentral:misc_RNA from 1 species
UUAACUAUUAUAUAGUACUCAGACAUCACUAAACAAACGAGUUUGGGUCCUCUGGCAGGCACUAAUCAGCCGAAGCCGACGCCCGGAGGCGGCCUGCCAAAGCAACAAAGGUAUGUAUACACGGUUUGGGAAUAGAACCCAUCUAUAAAAAACGGGGCGAUUCUUUAAUGAUCCUUCCGCAGGUUCACCUACGGAAA